GAUGGGCGUGCGCCUGAUUAGGUAGUUGGCGGGGUAAUGGCCCACCAAGCCUACGAUCAGUAACUGGUGUGAGAGCACGACCAGUCACACGGGCACUGAGACACGGGCCCGACUCCUACGGGAGGCAGCAGUAAGGAAUAUUGGUCAAUGGACGCAAGUCUGAACCAGCCAUGCCGCGUGGAGGAUGAAGGUCCUCUGGAUUGUAAACUUCUUUCAUCGGAGAAGAAACCCGACCUUUCUAGGGCGGUUGACGGUACCCGAUGAAUAAGCACCGGCUAACUCCGUGCCAGCAGCCGCGGUAAUACGGAGGGUGCAAGCGUUAUCCGGAUUCACUGGGUUUAAAGGGUGCGUAGGUGGGCUGGUAAGUCAGUGGUGAAAUCUCCGGGCUUAACUCGGAAACUGCCGUUGAUACUAUCAGUCUUGAAUGUUGUGGAGGUAAGCGGAAUAUGUCAUGUAGCGGUGAAAUGCUUAGAUAUGACAUAG
rnacentral:rRNA from 1 species